CAUGUGGUUGACAUCAUGGUCUCAGGAUGAACGCCUAGCGGGACGGCCAUAACACAUGCCUAGUGGAACGAGAUUCGCCUUCGGGGAUGAGAGUGGGGCACGAAUGAGUAACGCGUAUGCAACCUGCCUUUAACUGAGGGAUAGCCCAUAGAAAUGUCCGCUCAUACCUCAUAGUUCUUUUGGAUCGCAUGAUUUAAAAGAUAAAGCUUUGGCGGUUAAAGAUGGGCAUGCGUGACAUUAGCUAGUUGGUGAGGUAACGGCUCACCAAGGCGACGAUGUCUAGGGGUUCUGAGAGGAUGAUCUCCCACACUGGUACUGAGACACGGACCAGACUCCUACGGGAGGCAGCAGUGAGGAACAGGGGUCAAUGGGCGCAAGCCUGAACCAGCCAUCCCGCGUGCAGGAUGACGGCCCUAUGGGUUGUAAACUGCUCAUGUACACCAAGAAAACGCGCUACGUGUAGCGCUCUGACGGUAGUGUAUGAAUAGAUAUCGGCUAACUCCGUGCCAGCAGCCGCGGUAAUACGGAGGAUGCAAGCGUUAUCCGGAUUCAUUGGGUGUAAAGGGUGCGUAGGCGGCCUAUUUAAGUCAGUGGUGACUUCCUGCCGCUGAACGGUAGAAUUGCCAUUGAUACUGAGAGGCAACGUUACGGUUGAGGUAAGCGGAAUGUGUAGUGUAGCGGUGAAAUGCUUAGAUAUUACACAGAACACCAAUUGCGAAGGCAGCUUACUAAGCCGGCAACUGACGCUGAUGCACGUUCGCGUGGCCAGCGAACAGGAUUAGAUACCCUGGUAGUCCACGCCGUAAACGAUGUUCACUCGCAUCGUGCGAUACACAGCAAGCGGCCAAGCGAAAGCAUUAAGUGAACCACCUGGGGAGUACGAUCGCAAGGUUGAAACUCAAAGGAAUUGACGGGCCCGCACAAGCGGAGGAACAUGUGGUUUAAUUCGAUGAUACGCGAGGAACCUUACCUGGUUAAAUGUAGAACGACAGGCUGUGAAAGCAGCCCUUCUGGCACGUUUUACAAGGUGCUGCAUGAGUUGUCGUCAGCUCGUGCCGUGAGGUGUCGGGUUAAGUCCCAUAACGAGCGCGAAAGUUGCCAGCGGGUCAAGCCGGGGACUCUAGCGAGACUGCCACCGUAAGGUGUGACCAAGGUGGGAUCAACGUCAAAUCAGCACGGCCCUUAUGUCCAGGGCUACACACGUGUUACAAUGGCCGGUACAAAGGGCAGCUACUUCGCGAGAAGAUGCUAAUCUCGAAAGCCGGUCUCAGUUCGGAUCGAAGUCUGCAACCCGACUUCGUGAAGCUGACGAUCCGUACAUCGCAUAUCAGCCAUGAUGCGGUGAAUACGUUCCCGGGCCUUGUACACACCGCCCGUCUUGCAAUGGAAGCUGGGGGUACCUGAAGUCUGUAACCGAUAAGGAGCGGCCUAGGGUACCUCCAUAACUGGUGUUAAGUCGUAACAACGUAGCACGUUAGA
rnacentral:rRNA from 1 species